AGAAGAACUUAACUGGUAGUUCAAAGUGGGUAAUUUUUCAGUCUCCAUUGCAGAAGAGUUAAGCUAUAACUUCAAUGGGUUAUUUUUCAGUCUCCUUUACAGAAGAGCUUAGCUAUUAGUUCAAACAGGUAAUUUUUCAGUCUUUUUAACAGAAGAGGUCAAUUCAAGAGAUAAUUUGUCAGUCUCCUUUAUAGAAGAGUUAAGCUUUUACUUCAAUGGGUUAUUUUUCAGUCUCCUUUACAGAAGAGCUUAGCUAUUAGUUCAAAUAGGUAAUUUUUCAGUCUUUUUAACAGAAGAGGUCAAUUCAAGAGAUAAUUUGUCAGUCUCCUUUAUAGAAGAGUUAAGCUUUUACUUCAAUGGGUCAUUUUUCA